rnacentral:misc_RNA from 1 species
GAAAUGCGAUAAGUAAUGUGAAUUGCAGAUUUCAGUGAACCAUCGAAUCUUUGAACGCACCUUGCGCUCUUUGGUAUUCCGAAGAGCAUGCCUGUUUGAGUGUCAUGAAAAUAUCAACCUUGACUUGGGUUUUGUGCUCGAGUCUUGGCUUGGAUGUGGGUGCUUGCCGCUUUAACGAGCGGCUCACCUUAAAUGUAUUAGCUGGAUCUGUCUUUGAGACUUGGUUUGACUUGGCGUAAUAAGUAUUUCGCUAAGGACAUUCUUCGGAAUGGCCUCGUUUCUGGGAUGCUUGUCCGCUUUCCAAUACAAGUUCCAUUCGUGGACAUGACUUUUUAUUAUCUGGCCUCAAAUCAGGUAGGACUACCCGCUGAACUUAA